rnacentral:rRNA from 1 species
UACAGAGGGUGCGAGCGUUGUCCGGAAUCACUGGGCGUAAAGGGCGCGUAGGCGGCUUGAUAAGGUUGCGGUGAAAGCCCGGGGCUCAACCCCGGGUCGGCCGUGGCAACUGUCGAGCUGGAGCACUGUAGAGGCAGGUGGAAUUCCGGGUGUAGCGGUGGAAUGCGUAGAGAUCCGGAAGAACACCGGUGGCGAAGGCGGCCUGCUGGGCAGUGGCUGACGCUGAGGCGCGACAGCGUGGGGAGCAAACGG